rnacentral:rRNA from 1 species
CGGUAAAGACAGUUAAGCAGAAAGGUCAGAGAGCCGCUAGAUCGUUGGUGUAGGAGUAAAAUCUAGACACUAGCAGCUAUACCGAAGGCGGUUUAUUUGAAAUGCUGAGGCUGUGAAAGCUUUAAGGGAAACUGGGAUUGGAUACCCCACUAUUUUUAGCUAUAAAUUUACUGUUAAUAUACCAGAGUACUACGAAUAAAAAGUUUAAAACUCAAAGGGCUUGGCGGUGUUUUAGACCUCUCAGGGGAACCUGUCUCAUAAUCGACAAUCCACGUCAAACCUAACCUUUUAUGGUAAUUCAGCCUGUAUACCGUCGUCGUCAGGUAACUUCUUAAAAUACAGUAGUUAGCUAGAAAAUUUUAUUAAUUAAAACGUCAGAUCAAGGUGCAGCUAAUGAAAAGGGGAGGAUGGGUUACAAUUAUAAAUUUAUAAUUACGGAAAGAGCUUGAAAUAAAGCGACUUGAAGGAGGACUUGAAAGUAAUUUUAAUUACAUAAAUAGAAUGAAUGUGGCUCUGAAACGUG